rnacentral:rRNA from 1 species
AUACGGAGGAUCCGAGCGUUAUCCGGAUUUAUUGGGUUUAAAGGGAGCGUAGGCGGACGCUUAAGUCAGUUGUGAAAGUUUGCGGCUCAACCGUAAAAUUGCAGUUGAUACUGGGUGUCUUGAGUACAGUAGAGGCAGGCGGAAUUUGUGGUGGAGGGGUGAAAUGCUUAGAUAUCACGAAGAACUCCGAUUGCGAAGGCAGCUCACUGGACUGCAACUGACACUGAUGCUCGAAAGUGUGGGUAUCAAACAGGAUUAGAUACCCUGGUAGUCCACACAGUAAACGAUGAAUACUCGCUGUUUGCGAUAUACAGUAAGCGGCCAAGCGAAAGCAUUAAGUAUUCCACCUGGGGAGUACGCCGGCAACGGUGAAACUCAAAUGAAUUGGCGGG